rnacentral:lncRNA from 1 species
AUUAUUCUUUAAUCAAAUAAAUAAGUUCAAAGAAAUUACAUAUUAAAAACAAUUUCACAAACAAAUAAAAUCAAACUCAAAAAAAUAUACAUAUUAAAUAAUAUAUACAAAAUUUAAAACAAAACAAAUAAUAAAUAAAAAAUUUAAAAAAAUUAACAAACAAAUAAUAAAUAAAACAAAACAUACUACGAAAACAAAAUAUAUAAAAUAUUAAAAAAAUUAAUUUAAUAUAAUAAUAUCAUUUUUUAUAUGCAGAAAAAAAAUGGAAAACCCUAAAAAAUUCUGACCACAGCUCGCAAUGAACCGCAACUCAAGGCACCCCCAAUUCCUUUGCCGCAGCUCGAGUUAUCGGCUAACAACUGCCACAUCUCCCAACUGCGGCUACCUUUAGCCGCAUCUACCAAGUGCAGUUAUGCAUAGCCGCACCUCCUAGGUGCGGCACCCCUCAACCACGCCUCUCAGGUGCGACAGCUCUUAACCGAGCCUCCCAGGUGCGGUUCUGCGCGCUCACAUCCCUCCCUCUCAACCCUGCUUGAAAAAUCCUCAACCCCAACCCCAAUUCAAUCGCAUUUUGUAUUCUAUAUGAGUAGCUUCAACAAAAACAAUCGCAUUCUAGAUUCAACUGUGCGCUACAGUUUCUCUCACAGUAUAUAAACAUCAUGAUCAAAUAACAAGCAGCAGCUUCAAGAAAAACAACAUUUAACGCAACUAACCUGGACGCCUGCUAGAAGAAAUGCUAGAUCUCAC